UUAUACUUAUACAAAUAGACUCCCACACAGUUCUGGCAUCAAAUCAGCUUAAUGGCAGCAAAAAAGUGGAAGGGCCAGGAGCAAAAAAAAAUCAACUGACUAUCGACAAACUAUCAUCAAUUUGGCAUGCAAAUCACUUGCUCUGCCCAUUGCUCAAGGCUCUUUUUCUGCCCACUUGGUGCUCUUCUCUGGAAAAUAUCCUUUUGCCGUUCGUGCCAUGCGGGUUCCUUUGUGCACCAGCAUUUAAAAGUGCAGUAGACAUAGCACAAAACCAUUAAAAAGAUAGUUUUGGCCCAAAAAAAGUUCAAGGAUCCACGCAGCAAUAAUGCUUACUACCAACUAUGAUUUUAAGCUAAGUUUUGUACAUUUUAUUUAAAGCCCUUUAAUAGCACAUUUUUUUUUCUUGAAAAAGUCAUAAAUACGACUUUAUUUUGUUGACACCAAUUUCUUUUUAUGAUCUACAAAGAACUCCUUAUUUAUUUGCACGUUGACUGCAAAAAUUGAGUAAAUAAUCUACUGCUUUUUAUUCAGAAAAAUCAAUCCCUUUAUUUAUUACGUUUAUAAUUUUGAAUAAUGAAUUCUCAAUAAAAAGUUAAAUAAGUUCCUUUUUUUUAUUUUAGCCAUAUAAAUGUUCCGGAUUUUAUCAGCAUUUUAAUAAAAAUAACCCCAUUUAUGUUCUGUGCUACUUCUUUUGGUAUAUUUUUGUCAAACAUUUUAACUUUUUUUGUUGAAUAAAUACGUACAGCAAAGAGAAAAACGAUAAAAUGUCUGAAAUACAAGCAAAUAUAUUUGGUAUCGUAGCUGUUUGGUGAAAUACAUUUUUGUAUAUUCUCUGCUUUCAUUUCUGGGUCCAAAAGUCCAGUGUGUGGGGUUUUUUCACUCAGAUCAAAUAUUGUAGUUGACAAUUAUCCGGCACCUGAGCAGGUAUGAACGGUCGGCGAGCACUCAAUAAUCGUUCAAUAACCGACGGCGUAUACGCAAUUUGUGUUGCUGCAUGCGUGUAAUUGCUCAAGACGAUAAAGGAUGUCGUCAUCACCACACAGAAGCCUCGGGCAGAGGAAACGACAGCAAAAAGCGGAAACGGAAGCUGGGCCGUCACUUCACCAUUUUUUCUUUGUUAUGUCCACAUAUUCCUGCUGGUGACUUUUGUGUCGCCACUAAGCGGCUUAGGAGCCUCUGAAUACCCUCGGAAGCCCUCGGAAACCCUAGUCCAAGGAUUCGCUUUAAUAUGGGCUCAAGGAGAUGCAUUUAAUUUACCAAAAGAGACAUAGAAGCGCUGCAAGUGCAUUUUUAUUUGACUUAUUCUGUCCUUUAUUGAUUUUAGCUUUUUCAUUCACCAUUCAACAAUUGUAUAAACACUUUUUGUCAGUUUUUUAAAGUCUGCGGAUGAUACUUAAAUCAUAAAGGUUUUAAAAUUAGAAAUAAAAUAUAGUGUUGCACA